rnacentral:rRNA from 1 species
GCUUACGGCCAUACCACUCUGAACGCGCCCGAUCUCGGAAGCCAAGCAGGGUCGGGCCUGGUUAGUACUUGGAUGGGAGACCGCCUGGGAAUACCAGGUGCUGUAAGCU